GAUACUGCAUUGCUGGAGAAUGGUAGAGGAAAGUGGAACUUCCGGUGUAGCGGUGAAAUGCGUAGAUAUCGGAAGGAACACCAGUGGCGAAGGCGACUUUCUGGGCCAUUUCUGACGCUGAGGCGCGAAAGCCAGGGGAGCAAACGGGAUUAGAUACCCCGGUAGUCCUGGCCCUAAACGAUGUUCACUAGGUGUAGGUGGUAUCGACCCCUCCUGUGCCGCAGCAAACGCGUUAAGUGAACCGCCUGGGGAUUACGACCGCAAGGUUAAAACUCAAAAGAAUUGACGGGGGCCCGCACAAGCGGUGGAGCAUGUGGUUUAAUUCGAUGCUACGCGAAGAACCUUACCUGGGUUUGAAAUGCUGGUAGUAGGAUCCCGAAAGGGCGACGAUCCCGUUUUACGGGAAGCCAGCACAGGUGCUGCAUGGCUGUCGUCAGUUCGUGUCGUGAGAUGUUUGGUUAAGUCCAACAACGAACGCAACCCCUAUGGCUAGUUGA
rnacentral:rRNA from 1 species